rnacentral:lncRNA from 1 species
CCCCUCCAUUCGACAGAGCUAGCGUGGAUUUACAUCGGGGGGCAAAGGGAAGGUCUCUUCAGGUGGCGCCCAUCGCGGGGCUUUAGAAGCCCUCCGGACGGCUGGAAAACACCCCGCGGGUGUUUUAACAAGCCUAGGGAACGUCAUCUACCCCGCAGUUUUUCUGACGGGGUUUGGGUUGGUAGCUCGGUGGCUACACGAGUCAACUCAGACCGAGAACCAUUUUUUUCUUUUCUUUUCUUCGAACACCGCGCAUCCUUCAGGAAACAGGGGAUUCCAAGAGGAACUCUCACUGUUUCUUCAGCAAUGACUAAAGCAACUUGGUGUUUGUAGCUUUGACGGCCAAGAAGAACCCCGUUGAUCUCCUAUAAGAUAGAAGUUCAUUGGAUGACAGAAAAACACAAACCAUAUGUUGUUACUCAUCUGUAAUUAGAGUGACCACAUGAAAAUAAUUUAGUGGUCAGCUACUGGUACUGUAAUAUGGAGUUUUCUGGAAGAAAGCUGUUGGUAGUGGUUAAGAAAGGAGAAGUGCAAGCCAUGCAAGAGAUAUUUGUAUUUCAGGCAAGUGGGCAAUUUCUACAUUUGACUUAGUCAUUUAUAAUCCCUAUAUAUCUCAGCUAACCUGCUGGAUAGCUGUUCUUAGGAAAUGCCUAAGUCUUUCAAAGAGCCUUAAACUUACUUAAACUUUGUGGUGCAGAAAGACUUCUGAAAGCUGAUGGAAACAGUUCUCACUCUAUACUACAAAAUGUGUGAGACAAGCUAUGGCUUCAUCAUCAGAUUUCAGCACCUGUUCUCCAUGGGCAGUGUGAUUUAAUGCAUGUGUCAGAAGGGUGCCAGCAUAAAUAGCAUAAAACUGACAAGGAGAAAUUGGAGACUUGAUCACAACCUCAAGUGUAACAAAUUCCUAUAGGAAAUAAGAACUCAGCUUCCCCACGUGGAAGCCAAAGCAUGACACAAGCAAAUCCCUUGCUUUAUGUUGACACUUGAUUUGAAUUCAAUAUCCUGUAUGAACAUUGUCUAUUUUCUUUAAUAAAUAUAGUCAUAAUAAUAAGGGAUUCA